CCGCCUUGACAUCUCGCUGACCCCGCCGACGCCAGCGUGUGUGCCACGAUCGCCGCUGCCAACGGCUUCGCAAACGACUCCGAGAGGGAGACUACAUCUUCACCGGCAAUGGAGCAUGAUAAGCAAGGAGAGAAGGAUUAUGAAGAGGAAGAGAAUGAGGAGGAAGAGGAUGAGUAAGAUACUCUGUUUGAGGAGGAAGAUUCUCAUUUUGAUGUCAAAGCACUAAGUGUUAUGCUAUGCAGAAUUGCAUUGUUUGGCUGUCAAUGUUCAAUAUUUUUGCCGUAUAAAGUUCAAAGGAGGAGCUGUCCAAAAUUCAAAAGCAAUGAUGCCCAAUUCUUUCUUAGUCAUAUUUGUUCAA